UUCUUCCAAAUAAAUAACUUACAUCAUAGUAAUUAACUUAAUAAUUUAAUUGUAAAUUCCCUUUUAAAGUAUCGACUUUAUCGAUAACUUAAUCUUCGCGUCGAUAAUUCUUCAAAUUAUCGACGCGUUCCCAUCCCUAGCCAGCGAAGCGGUCUUUUGUUCGUGUCCCCACUAUCGCGGCAGCCCCACUCGGUGACCACUGGCUCUCGAUCAUUCGGCCACGGGCUACGGCAUCGACUGCGCGUGACCCUACCUCACGGCAGUCCUCUAGGUGCCUAGCCCGCUCUAAAGUGUCGAAUGACCUAGACUUUACCAGUGGUACCUUGUGCGUGUCUUCCCCAAUAUCGGGGUCCAAGGUCCACGCUACUACUCCAAGGUCCACGCUUACGUCCACGGUACGGUUUACCGACUACACGGAUCUGCUACGUGGCUUCUACGGCUCGCCCUCUCCGUGCUGGUUCGGCAACCCCCUACCUCCGUGUUGCUGUCCACGCCGCGCAGCCGAGCUACACGCCACGCGCACGCAACGGCCACGUGACCUGCCUGCCUACCUACCUGGGCACUGGAGAAGAGGACUUCCACGCCGGUCGCGUUAUCGGGAUUCCACGCCGAUACUCUUCGACUCAGGGGAGUCCCUAUCCGUACCAACUGAAAACUGACUGAUCGUGUAGUGUAGGCCUAACCCACGUUGACCUAUAAAUAAAUUUGUGUCAAGCUGAACCCUGGCUUCUCAUUUCUAUCUCCCCUCUUAGCUAGCCAUUUAUCAUAAGCGCGACACUGGCGCCCUCCACGUGGUUCUAACGGUCAGUCAUUUUUUGGUUGGUAACGUAGCUUGUUUUGUGUGCGUGCAACUUGUAAAGACUUCUUUUCGUCAAUUUAUUUUAUUCCCGCUACACCUCGUAACUGUGGUACUGUGUUUCUAGUGCUGUAGUUAAUUCUAAACUUUUGAUAUCGGUAAUAUUUUACUUUUAAAAAUAUUUAUUUGAUUGUUUCCUUUAAAUUUCAUUGUUGUUUAACACAGUACAAUAGUUGCAUUUUUGUUUUCAGCUGCAUCUUUUAUGUUUGCUUAUGUAAUUUACUGUGUACUUGAGAAAAAACUGUCUACUUUAAUUGAUUUUGUAACAGAACGGAAUCAAUGAGUUAAGUAGAUCUGAUCACACAGUAGUGUUAAAAAUGACGCUGUUCGC